UGUGUAUCAGUACAUGGCAUAUCAAUAAGCGGAGGAAAAGAAACUAACUAGGAUUCCCUCAGUAACGGCGAGUGAAGCGGGAAGAGCUCAAAUUUGAAAUCUUCAAGGUUUUACCUUGACGAAUUGUAGUUUAAAGAAGUGUUUUCUGUUGAAGUUUUGGUAAAAGUUCUUUGGAAUAGGACAUCAUAGAGGGUGAGAAUCCCGUAUUUGACCAUUUCUUUCAGCUUUGUGAUACACUUUCAAAGAGUCGGAUUGUUUGGGAAUGCAGUCCAAAAUGGGUGGUAAAUUUCAUCUAAAGCUAAAUAUUGGCGAGAGACCGAUAGCGAACAAGUACCGUGAGGGAAAGAUGAAAAGAACUUUGAAAAGAGAGUUAAACAGUACGUGAAAUUGUCAAAAGGGAAGCGUUUGACACCAGUGUUGUUUUCUCGAAAAUCAAUUUAAAAUGGCUGGAUGCUAAGUUGCUAAGACUUUAUCAGCUUGUUUCUUAGUUUUCUUGUCUUUUUAAAUGCACUUUUCGUUUAACAAGUCAACAUCAAUUUCUUUUGCUGUAAAAGGGUAAGAGGAAGGUGGCUUUGACUUCGGCGUAAGUGUUUAUAGCCUUUUACCUCUGCAGUCGGAGAGAUUGAGGUCUGCAGCGUAGACUCUUCGGGGUUAGAUACACUUGUGCUAAGCUAUAGCCUUUUAUAGACAACUUGUUGACUAUGCUCAGUCAUGUAGGCUUACUCGCUUAUGCUAUUUUACCUACGCUUAGGAUGUUGACAGCAGUAUAGACUGU
rnacentral:rRNA from 1 species